UACGAAGGGGGCUAGCGUUGCUCGGAAUCACUGGGCGUAAAGGGUGCGUAGGCGGGUUUUUAAGCCAGGGGUGAAAUCCUGGAGCUCAACUCCAGAACUGCCUUUGAUACUGAAGAUCUUGAGUCCGGGAGAGGUGAGUGGAACUGCGAGUGUAGAGGUGAAAUUCGUAGAUAUUCGCAAGAACACCAGUGGCGAAGGCGGCUCACUGGCCCGGUACUGACGCUGAGGCACGAAAGCGUGGGGAGCAAACAGG
rnacentral:rRNA from 1 species